rnacentral:lncRNA from 1 species
UCGCCUUUUCGCUUCCACCUCGAGUGCAGACGGCACCUCGAUCGAUGAGACGUACAAAGUGAGGGCAUACAGAAGGAGGAGGAGAAGAGAUAAAAAGCCAUCUUUUCCCUCGUCACAUUGUCAAUCAGAUUUAAUUAAGCUAAAACUAUAUCAAAUCAAAUAAAGAAAUCACAUCAAUUAUUCCAUAACAAGUGAAUUUUCUACAUAACAGACCUCUGCUUGCUUGUUGGUGUCUCUGCUCAACGCAUUUUGAGAUGGGUGUCUAGCGUCCUUCUGCAG